rfam:Rattus norvegicus strain BN; Sprague-Dawley chromosome 3 CRA_213000034359328, whole genome shotgun sequence.
UGGCAGGGCCAACGUAGCUUUUACUGAUUUGCCUGUUUAGCAAGUGGACAGGAUGCCAGUCUGGCAGUUUGUGUUGACGAUAAAUCACAACUAGACAUUUUAUUUAAAAUCUGGCACUGGCUUGGGAGAGGUGAGGGAUUGUCGAUUUGUUUUUAUUUUGGAGGCCAGGCACAAUCAUAACACAAACAGGCCACCUGGAAAC